rnacentral:rRNA from 1 species
UACGAAGGGGGCUAGCGUUGCUCGGAAUGACUGGGCGUAAAGCGCACGUAGGCGGCUUAGCAAGUCGGAUGUGAAAUCCCUCGGCUCAACCAAGGAAGUGCAUCCGAAACUGCUGAGCUUGAGUACGAAAGAGGAUCGCGGAAUUCCCGGUGUAGAGGUGAAAUUCGUAGAUAUCGGGAGGAACACCAGUGGCGAAGGCGGCGAUCUGGGUCGAUACUGACGCUGAGGUGCGAAAGCGUGGGGAGCAAACAGG